GACGUAGGGCGCGAGCGUUGUCCGGAUUUAUUGGGCGUAAAGAGCUCGUAGGCGGCUUGUUGCGUCGGCUGUGAAAACCCGUGGCUUAACUGCGGGCUUGCAGCUGAUACGGGCAGGCUAGAGUUCGGUAGGGGAGACUGGAAUUCCUGGUGUAGCGGUGAAAUGCGCAGAUAUCAGGAGGAACACCGGUGGCGAAGGCGGGUCUCUGGGCCGAUACUGACGCUGAGGAGCGAAAGCGUGGGGAGCGAACAGG
rnacentral:rRNA from 1 species